rfam:Populus trichocarpa scaffold_8_contig_227, whole genome shotgun sequence.
UCUAGAACUCGAGAUAUGAGCUGAACACUGAACAGUGUCUAGGCUGCAGGACAGAUUCUGACUUCUCCGUUGUUGCUAAGAUUUGGACUUCCAAACAGCAGAUUUGAGUCUUGGACUCCUCAUGAAUGUUUUAGACCUAUGUCUUAGCUUUCUAGC